rnacentral:rRNA from 1 species
UACAGAGGAGCCAAGCGUUGUCCGGAUUGACUGGGCGUAAAGAGCGUGUAGGCGGCCCGAUAAGUCAGCUGUGAAAGUCCAGGGCUCAACCCUGGAAGGCCGGUGGAAACUGUCGGGCUAGAGUCCGGAAGAGGCGAGUGGAAUUCCCGGUGUAGCGGUGAAAUGCGCAGAUAUCGGGAGGAACACCAAUGGCGAAGGCAGCUCGCUGGGACGGUACUGACGCUGAGACGCGAAAGCGUGGGGAGCAAACAGG